CGUUCCCUGCUCCGGAGCCCGCUGUGCUCUGCCUGCCGGCGGCUCCGCGGCUGCCCCUCGCCCGCCCAUCAUGGCUGCGAGCGCGCCGCUGCUGCUGCUGCUGCUGCUGCCGCCGCUGCUGCGCGGCUGCGGGGCCGCCCCCGAGCCGCCCGAGCCGCCCGAGCCGCCGGGGCCCGAGCAGCCCGCGCUGCCCGAGUCGCCGCUGCUGCAGCCCACCGUGCUGCUCGCCAUCCUCGCCCGCAACGCCGCGCACACGCUGCCGCACGUCCUGGGCUGCAUCGAGAGGCUCAGCUACCCCAAGAGCCGCAUCGCGCUCUGGGCAGCCACUGACCACAACAUUGACAACACCACAGCAAUCCUCAGGGAGUGGCUGAAGAAUGUGCAGCACCUGUACCACGACGUGGAGUGGAGACCCAUGGAGGAGCCCCCGUCCUACCCAGAAGAACUGGGGCCGAAGCACUGGCCCAGCUCUCGGUUCACCCACGUGAUGAAGCUGCGCCAGGCUGCCCUGCGCGCGGCCCGGGACAAGUGGUCAGACUAUAUCCUGUUUAUUGAUGCAGAUAAUUUACUGACCAACCCAGAGACCCUGAACCUGCUGAUAGCAGAGAACAAGACCCUGGUGGCGCCGAUGCUCGAGUCCCGCUCGCUCUACUCCAACUUCUGGUGUGGCAUCACUCCCCAGGGCUACUACAAGAGGACCCUGGAGUACCCCCUGAUCCGGGAGUGGAAGAGGAUGGGCUGCUUUGCUGUCCCCAUGGUGCAUUCCACGUUCCUCAUUGACCUGAGGAAGGAGGCCUCUGCCAAGCUGGCCUUCUACCCCCCUCACCAGGACUACACCUGGAGCUUCGACGACAUCAUGGUCUUUGCCUUCUCCAGCCGCCAGGCAGGAGUCCAGAUGUUCAUCUGCAACCGUGAGCACUAUGGGUUCCUUCCCAUGCCCCUGAAGCCGCAGCAGUUGCUGCAGGAGGAAGCUGAGAAUUUUGUGCACACCCUGAUCGAGGCCAUGAUCGAUCGCCCUCCCGUGGAGCCCUCUCAGUACAUCUCUGUGCCCCCGAAGCACCCUGACAAGAUGGGCUUUGAUGAAAUUUUCAUGAUCAACCUGAAGCGCCGCAAGGACCGGCGGGAUCGGAUGCUGCGGACGCUCUACGAGCAGGAGAUUGCAGUGAAGGUAGUGGAGGCUGUGGAUGGAAAAGCACUGAACACGAGUCAGCUGAAAGCUCUCAGCAUCGAAAUGCUGCCGGGGUACCGGGACCCCUACUCCUCCAGGCCCCUGACCAGAGGAGAGAUCGGCUGCUUCCUGAGCCACUACUACAUCUGGAAGGAGGUGGUGAGCAGGGGCCUGGAGAAGACCCUGGUCAUUGAGGACGAUGUGCGCUUCGAGCACCAGUUCAAGAGGAAGCUCAUGAAGCUGAUGGACGACAUCGAGCAAGCCCAGUUAGACUGGGAGCUGAUCUACAUUGGCCGGAAAAGGAUGCAGGUGCAGGAGCCCGAGAGAGCCGUUCCCAAUGUCCGGAACCUGGUGGAGGCUGAUUACUCCUACUGGACCCUGGGCUAUGCCAUCUCCUUCCACGGGGCUCAGAAGCUCAUCGGGGCUGAGCCCUUCAGCAAGAUGCUGCCUGUGGAUGAAUUCCUGCCCAUCAUGUACAACAAGCACCCCGUCACAAAGUACAUGGAGUACUACGAGCCCAGAGACUUGAAGGCCUUCUCAGCAGAACCCCUGCUUGUUUACCCCACGCACUACACGGGGCAGCCGGGCUACCUCAGCGACACGGAGACCUCCACCAUCUGGGACAACGAGACCGUGUCCACGGACUGGGACAGAACGCACUCCUGGAAGUCCCGGCAGCAGGGCAAGAUCCACAGCGACGCCCAGAACAAGGACGCGCUGCCCUCCCAGCCCUCCCUGGACACGCCGUCAGCCAGGGACGAGCUAUGACUGCCCACCUCCCCGGGACUCUGUUGACAGCUGAACCUGCCUCACACUUUAGCUUUUCACCCUUGAAAGUUGUAGAGCAGCUCUUCAUGUGGUCUCUUUCCCACCACUCCCAAGGGCCGGACACCUGCCCAGGCCGCCGAGGACAGGGUGGGACACCAAGGAGGAAGCAGAACAAGCAUUCCAGAUCCAAGCAAAAGCCCUGGCAAGCUUUUGUUAGAAGAAAACCAGCCUGGAAUGACGUGGUUCCACAGUUCCUCAUGUAGAACACUGUAUUUAUAAAGAUUAAUAUAUAGAGGUGUACAAAUGUCAGUGCCUUUCAGAAUGGCUGUACCUGGGCUGCUCCCUCACUGUUACUCCUUGUAGGUCUGUAGGCUUUUACCACCCUGUUUGCUGAGCAUCUGGGGGAUUUGGGUUUGUUUUCCAAAGGGAUCCCUAUCAGAAUCAAGAUGUUUCCCCAAAGUGUUCAGUGCAGGAGAGCAGUGCUCCUCUGUCUUGUCCUCUCCCCAUCACACUCCUGUACCAAAACCAGUGCUGGCUUCCCAUCAGCUCAUUUUUAAUCUUGCUGCAUCCCAUCUAAACAGGCCUCUGGAUCCAGAACAGAUGUCUUGGAAUGUCUGAAGUCAUGGAAGCCAUGCAAGUGGAGGUAGCUGGAUUUAUUUAUCUCUGCAUUGCCUGAAGGGAAUGGUCCAUGUCACAUCCUGCUUCACCCCUGCCUCAACUUAGUCCUUCAGGAAAACAAAACCCCACAACCUAUUGGCAGGCCUGUUUUUUCAGGCCAUAAAAGCAAGUGUAGAAGUUUUGGGAAGUUAAAAUGUAAGAAGUUAGGUUACAAACUCUCCUUCUAAAACCAAAAGAACCUACAGCAAUGUUACUCUCUCAACAGCCCAAUAGAAUUGUGUGUCACAGGACGGAAGGGCGACUUGCCUGGAUAUUUUUUCAUGUGAGGAGUGAACUUUUCUGUGUUUUGGAUGAGUUCUGAUGUUUUUGCUGUUGGCUCACAUGCCAGCAGGAUAUGGUGUUUAUUUUUUUUAAAAAAACCUUUCUCAGAGGCCAGGUGAUGAUGGACUGUACUGGCACAGACCCUGAGCUUCUGGGUAGCAGGAGGAUUCCCUCCUGGAAUUGCUAUCUGGGGGCUCACCUGCUGGCAGAUCUGUGCAUUGAGUAUGUGUGGCUGGGGUUUUGGUUUUAAUUUUUGUUUGUUUUGAAUAAUUACUGAUCAAUGUUGUGCUUUCUGCUGCAGAAGACAUGUUAUUACCUGUCAGCCGGUCUGAUAAUACAUAGAACCUGGUGCAAGAUGAGCAGCUCUGUGUGUUCUUCAUUGUGUGGGAGAGUCCUGGAAGGGUUUGGGUUGUGGAAGGCACCUCUGAAGGUGCCACAGUCCAACCCUCUGCCAUGGGCAGGGACACCUUUCAUAACACCAGGUUGCUCCAAGCCCCCUUCAGCCUGACCCUGAAUGUUACUGGAGGUUAGUGGAAGUCCAGCUCAAGGGAUUCCUCUCCCAUGGAGUCACUGGUUGUGAUUCUGCAGUUCCCACCUGGAAGCCAAGUUCUUGCUGGUGUCUAUGUGGGAGCAGAUGCCCACAUGACCUGGUCUCUUGCUUGAUGAGCCCACAUGGCCUGUGUGAAGGACACUGGAAGUCUUCACCCCCUCCACCCCAGCACCAGGCCUUGGAUCUCCUCCUCUGGAGUGGAAUUUUUCCAGUUACAGCCUCAUCUCAUGCAUGGCCAGCAUAAGAUGAGGCCAGAGUCGUUCAUGAUACCCCCUCCAUGCUGGCCACAGCUCCAGUGAGUAUUGUUCCUCUUCCACAGGUUAACCUCCUGUCAGUGGACCAAUCCACUGGUUCUCUUUCAAGGGUCAG